UCAGGUAUAAUAGAUCCCACCUUGUCUAGUGUAUUCAGGUAUAAUAGAUCCCACCUUGUCUAGCGUAUUCAGGUAUAAUAGAUCCCACCUUGUCUAGUGUAUUCAGGUAUAAUAGAUCCCACCUUGUCUAGUGUAUUCAGGUAUAAUAGAUCCCACCUUGUCUAGUGUAUUCAGGUAUAAUAGAUCCCACCUUGUCUAGUGUAUUCAGGUAUAAUAGAUCCCACCUUGUCUAGUGUAUUCAGGUAUAAUAGAUCCCACCUUGUCUAGUGUAUUCAGGUAUAAUAGAUCCCACCUCGUAUUCAGGUAUAAUAGAUCCCACCUCGUAUUCAGGUAUAAUAGAUCCCACCUUGUCUAGUGUAUUCAGGUAUAAUAGAUCCCACCUCGUAUUCAGGUAUAAUAGAUCCCACCUUGUCUAGUGUAGUCAGGUAUAAUAGAUCCCACCUUGUCUAGUGUAUUCAGGUAUAAUAGAUUACAUUACAUUUACAUUUAAGUCAUUUAGCAGACGCUCUUAUCCAGAGCGACUUACAAAUUGGUGCAUUCACCUUAUGACAUCCAGUGGAACAGCCACUUUACAAUAG